rnacentral:rRNA from 1 species
GGAGCCUGAGAAACGGCUACCACAUCUAAGGAAGGCAGCAGGCGCGCAAAUUACCCAAUGAAAACAGUUUUGAGGUAGUGACGAGAAAUAACAAUACAGAGCAUUUAAAUGUUUUGUAAUUGGAAUGGUGGGAAUCUAAACCCCUUUCAGAGUAACAAUUGGAGGGAAAGUCUGGUGCCAGCAGCCGCGGUAAUUCCAGCUCCAAUAGCGUAUAUUUGAGUUGUUGCAGUUAAAAAGCUCGUAGUUGGAUUUCUGUCUUGGCUUUUACGUGUACUACAUGUAUAUUAAUUUAUAGAUGUUUUAUAACAGCGUUUAAACUUUGACAUAUUAUCCCAAUGUGUGUAUGUGUGUGUAUAUAUAGAGAAUUAGGUUUUAACACCUUGAUUUAAUAUAUAUAUAUAUAUAUAAUCAUUGGGACUUUUACUUUGAAAAAAAUAGAGUGUUUCAAGCAGGUAUUUUUUUGCCUUGAAUAC